GAUGAACGCUGACAGAAUGCUUAACACAUGCAAGUCGAUUCAAAGUUCCCUUCGGGGAAUGGAGGAUGGCGGACGGGUGAGUAACGCGUAAGGAACUUGCCUUUUGGCCUGGGACAACUGUUGGAAACGACAGCUAAUACCGGAUAUUAUGAGAUUCUCGCAUGAGAAACUUAUGAAAGCUAUAUGCGCCAAAAGAGAGCCUUGCGUUCCAUUAGCUAGUUGGUGGGGUAACGGCCCACCAAGGCGACGAUGGAUAGCCGGCCUGAGAGGGUGAACGGCCACAAGGGGACUGAGACACGGCCCUUACUCCUACGGGAGGCAGCAGUGGGGAAUAUUGGACAAUGGACCACAAGUCUGAUCCAGCAAUUCUGUGUGCACGAUGAAGGUUUUCGGAUCGUAAAGUGCUUUCAGUUGGGAAGAAGAAAGUGACGGUACCAACAGAAGAAGCGACGGCUAAAUACGUGCCAGCAGCCGCGGUAAUACGUAUGUCGCAAGCGUUAUCCGGAUUUAUUGGGCGUAAAGCGCGUCUAGGCGGAAAAGAAAGUCUGAUGUUAAAAUGCGGGGCUCAACUCCGUAUUGCGUUGGAAACUGCUUUUCUAGAGUACUGGAGAGGUGGGCGGAACUACAAGUGUAGAGGUGAAAUUCGUAGAUAUUUGUAGGAAUGCCGAUGGAGAAGUCAGCUCACUGGACAGAUACUGACGCUAAAGCGCGAAAGCGUGGGGAGCAAACAGG
rnacentral:rRNA from 1 species